GACGAACGCUGGCGGCGUGCCUAAUACAUGCAAGUAGGACGCAGUUGCGAACGGGUGAGUAACGCGUAGGUAACUACCUAUUAGAGGGGGAUAACUAUUGGAAACGAUAGCUAAUACCGCAUACUAGUAGAUGGAUCUGCGUUGUAUUAGCUAGUAGGUAGGGUAAUGGCCUACCUAGGCAACGAUACAUAGCCGACCUGGGAAGGUGAUCGGCCACACUGGGAAUGGGAAACGGCCCAGGACUCAACGGGAGGCCGCAGUAGGGAAUCUUCGGCAAAGGGGGGAAACCUGACCGAGCAACGCCGCGUGAGUGAAGGAAGUUUUCGGAUCUUUAAACUCUGUUGUUAAGGAAGCGGUACUUAACCAGAAAGGGACGGCUAACUACGUGCCAGCAGCCGCGGUAAUUC
rnacentral:rRNA from 1 species